rnacentral:rRNA from 1 species
UGCCAGACUCCUACGGGAGGCAGCAGUGGGGAAUAUUGGGCAAUGGGCGAAAGCCUGACCCAGCAAUGCCGCGUGAAUGAAGAAGGUCUUAGGAUUGUAAAAUUCUGUCCUAUGGGAAGAAACAAAUGACGGUACCAUAGGAGGGAGCCCCGGCUAACUACGUGCCAGCAGCCGCGGUAAUACGUAUGGUGCAAGCGUUAUCCGGAUUUACUGGGUGUAAAGGGAGCGCAGGCGGCACGGCAAGCCUGAUGUGAAAGCCCGCGGCCCAACCGCGGGACUGCAUUGGGAACUACCGGGCUGGAGUGCCGGAGAGGUAGGCGGAAUUCCUAGUGUAGCGGUGAAAUGCGUAGAUAUUAGGAGGAACACCAGUGGCGAAGGCGGCCUACUGGACGGCAACUGACGGUGAGGCGCGAAAGCGUGGGGAGCAAACAGGAUUAGAUACCCUAGUAC